rnacentral:rRNA from 1 species
GACGAACGCUGGCGGCGUGCUUAACACAUGCAAGUCGAACGGAAAGGCCCUGCUUGCAGGGUACUCGCGUGGCGAACGGGUGAGUAAAACGUGGGUGAUCUGCCCUGCACUUCGGGAUAAGCCUGGGAAACUGGGUCUAAUACCGGAUAGGAGCCCUUUUUAGGGUGGUGGUUGGAAGGUUUUUUCGGUGUAGGAUGGGCUCGCGGCCUAUCAGCUUGGUGGUGGGGUAAUGGCCUACCAAGGCGGCGACGGGUAGCCGGCCUGCGAGGGUGGACGGCCACAUUGGGACUGGGAUACGGCCCAGGCUCCUACGGGAGGGAGCAGUGGGGAAUAUUGCAAAAUGGGGGCAAGCCUGAUGCAGCGACGCCGCGGGGGGGAUGACGGCCUUCGGGUUGUAAACUCCUUUCGCUAGGGACGAAGCUGUUUGUGACGGUACCUAGAAAAGAAGCACCGGCUAACUACGUG